rnacentral:lncRNA from 1 species
GACGCGCUGCUUGAGGUGUGUCAGGGCCUCUGCUUAGAACUCGCGCAAUUCUGAACGGAGGAGGAGAAAGUCCAGUUGCUGAAGGGCAGAAUUUCCAUGCGCCCGCAGCUUCCAAGUCCAGACCACCCCCGAAUUCACCUCUGACAAAAUUCUGGGGACGCUGGGAACACUGAAUCAACAUGGGCAAUGAGAACAGCACCUCGGACAACCAGGUGGGUGUCAGGAAGCUUCUCUCUCGAGCUACGUGGUGCUCUUGGCAGACCUUGACUAGGUUCUUUUUACAGCGUCUCAUCUUCACCCAGGAAGGAGCAAACAAGACAGCUUCUGCGUAGAUGUGUGCGGGCAUUUAUGGAUCUAUGCAGCCAUUUUUCAUUUCAUUGGAAUUCUCUUACGAUUAAGGCUAGCUCUAGUUAAAGCCGGAAACGCUAA